rnacentral:lncRNA from 13 species
CUCAGGAGCCCAUGGAAGAUUGCAACAUCUCCUGGGUUGAGGGAGCCACCCAUCCUGUGGGAAUUUGGUUUUGAAAUACAGCUGGAAUAAAUGCGGGACUCCAAGGUAGCUUGUCCAUUGCCAGACAAUGAAGAAAGGGGACUGAGGCUCACCUUUGGACUUCCUGAUUGACAUCCCACGUUCAGAUCUGGAUAUUCAGUUUUCUUGCCCUGUCUUGGUUCGUCCCGUUAUGGAGAGCGCAUCCACUAGUUCCUGGAGAAACAGAGUUCAAAGAGUCUCCUCUGUUGCCCAGGUUGGAAUGCAGUGGCGCCAUCUUGACUACAUCCUCGGCCUCCCAGGUUCAAGUGAUUCUCCUGCCUCAGCCUCCCGAGUAGCUGGGACUGCACUAUGCCUCGCUAAUUCUGUGUAUUUUUAGUAAAGACAAGGUUUCACCGUGUUAUCCAGGAUGGUCUCAAUCUCCUGACCUUGUGAUCCGCCCACUUCAGUCCCCCAAAGUGCUGAGAUUACAGGCAUGAGCCAUCGCACCUGGCCAGGGGUUGGAUUUUGAGAGGAGAGGAGUGGAAAUGUCUUCAUUCCAUCAAUUUAAAAAUCACAGAUCUGGUGAUCAAAUUGUGAGGGAUAGAUUCACAUUAUAACAACACUUGUCAGAAAUUUGUUUUAAAGCGAAUUACAGUGUAUUAAUUCAGAAGCCAAGUAAAGAUCUAAACAUUUUUGUAGUAGAGAAAGUUAAGUGAUCUUUAUGGUUAAUGUUAGCCUGUUACCUAGCCUGAUGCCACAUCCCUCAUGUAAGUAGGUACCUGCCAAAAUAAAUAGAAUAAUUAAAUUGGGAAGCCA